GCCACCCUUAAAAAAUUGUUUGUUUGGCAUUGCCGACCCACACUAUCAGCAGGUGGGUAGGUAGGUAGGGAUUUUUUUUUUUUUUACAUUUAAAAGCUUUAUAAACUGUAAAUUAUGAAGUCUCUAGAUCAAUGUUGUCUAAAGCAUUGCAGCAUUGUUGUGUGUACAUGCUGGUAGUUUCUUUGAAAGGGGUCAAUGUCACAUUCUACAUCAUGGAUAAUUUCAUGUAAGACAGUCAGUUUUAUUGGCAGAGUUAACCAAAGUACCCAGAAAAAAACACAGAACUGAGGCAGGAAACUGACAAAUUAACCAUAUCAAAUGUAUGACGUGAAAAUUGAUCUUUUAUUGUGGGACUGCCCACUG
rnacentral:lncRNA from 1 species